rnacentral:rRNA from 1 species
AGAGUUUGAUCAUGGCUCAGGAUGAACGCUAGCUACAGGCUUAACACAUGCAAGUCGAGGGGAAACGACAUCGAAAGCUUGCUUUUGAUGGGCGUCGACCGGCGCACGGGUGAGUAACGCGUAUCCAACCUGCCCAUCACUUGGGGAUAACCUUGCGAAAGUAAGACUAAUACCCAAUGACGUCUCUAGAAGACAUCUGAAAGAGAUUAAAGAUUUAUCGGUGAUGGAUGGGGAUGCGUCUGAUUAGCUUGUUGGCGGGGUAACGGCCACAAGGCGACGAUCAGUAGGGUUCUGAGAGGAACGGUCCCCCANAUUGGAACUGAGACACGGUCCAGACUCCUACGGGAGGCA